rnacentral:rRNA from 1 species
UUCGCAAUGCCCGAAAGGGUGAACGAGCGACGCCGCGUGGGUGAUGAAGGCCUUCGGGUUGUAAAGCCCUGUCACCUGGGAAGAAUGGCGGAGGGUGAAUAGCCACUCUGCUUGACGCUACCAGGAAAGGAAGCACCGGCUAAAUACGUGCCAGCAGCCGCGGUAAUACGUAUGGUGCGAACGUUGUUCGGAAUCACUGGGCAUAAAGAGCACGUAGGCGGUUGAGCAAGUCCAUUGUGAAAUCCCCCGGCUUAACCGGGGAACUGCAGUGGAUACUACUCGACUUGAGUGCAGGAGGGGAGAGUGGAAUUCCAGGUGGAGCGGUGAAAUGCGUAGAUAUCUGGAGGAACGCCGGUGGCGAAAGCGACUCUCUGGUCUGUAACUGACGCUGAGGUGCGAAAGCUAGGGGAGCAAACGGGAUUAGAUACCCCGGUAGUCCUAGCUGUAAACGAUGGGCACUAAGUAGAGGGGUUUU